rnacentral:rRNA from 1 species
UACGAAGGGGGCUAGCGUUGCUCGGAAUCACUGGGCUUAAAGGGAGCGUAGGCGGGCUAUCAAGUCUGGGGUGAAAUGCCACGGCUCAACCGUGGAACUGCCUCAGAUACUGACGGCCUCGAGGGAGAUAGGGGCAUGCGGAACUGUAGGUGGAGCGGUGAAAUGCGUUGAUAUCUACAGGAACUCCGGUGGCGAAAGCGGCGUGCUGGAUCUCUUCUGACGCUGAGGCUCGAAAGCUAGGGGAGCAAACGGG